AUCGGUCACUGUACAGUUCCUGGCCAUCGCAUGGACCAGAUGCCUCUUUCCAUAGGCGUUGGCCACUGUGGCUCCAUUCAGCUUGGACUUUGCUCCCUGGAUCUGUGUGUGCAAUGGUCAGGGGCUUUUCUUAUACUUGGACAAAGUGACAUGCACAAACGCAGAGCCCAGGAACCCAGAUGGCUGGGGCCCAGGUCGACCAAGCUCCAGCCUGGUAAACCAGGCAGAGAUGAACAUGCAAACCAUGGCGCAGGGGCAGGGUGGGGCUCAAAUGUGGGGCCCAGGAUGCUGAGUCCAGGAGCUCGCAAGUAAGUUGUUCACA
rnacentral:lncRNA from 1 species